UGGGGGAUCGUCUAAUGGCAGGACUGCAGGCUCUGAAUCUGUCUAUCUAGGUUCGAAUCCUAGUCCCCCAGCCA
rnacentral:tRNA from 1 species